rnacentral:lncRNA from 1 species
AUUUUUAUAGAACGCUACGUAAAUAAUUUUUAUAGCAUAAAAGCAAAAUAAAUUCCUACAUACAGUAGCACACGCAGCCAGGUAUUCAAAACAUUUAACAAUGACAUGUGGGCCCCCGAAUGACUAAAAGUAAUGAAGGUUGUGAACCUACAAUUUUUAAGGAUGCAAGUCCAACUGUAGCCAUCAACGAAAUGAGCUAUCUACUGACUAUCCUGAGCCUGAAAUGGGUGAAAAGGAGGGUGGUGAGAUUAUAUAAUCCCAGUGAGUAAACAAAUAUCAUCUAAAAUAUCUAAAGCUGAGUAAAUGGAGACAGAUUAAAUAGAUUAGCAUAAAAAUGAUUCACAGCAUUUCGAACUCAUUUUAAUAAGAUAAAAUAUAUUCAUUUCAACCAAAUAAACAACGAGGCUUACGAUUUCCUGAAAAGCUUGGCUUGUGCCAAAAUCAUUCUCAUACUUGGUUUUUAGGGAUACCUUGUCCUGGGGCUAUCCCAACCGAAUCCGCCAAGGCUAUUAAAAAGUCAUGUACGCAUAAAUCAUGUUUUUACUUUGAAAACAUAGCCAUUCCUUGACGUUGGCUGAGUUCACCUUCACGUGGUGGUUUGGCGUGAAGUGGACUCUAAAGUUUUACCUCAGGAGUUACCCUACGUGCCUCUUCAAUCGAGGUAAGAAUAUACUCGGAUUUCAUGCCCCUCAAAAAGGCUGAUCCACAGAACCCGCCAUUACAGUGACCAAUCUAUAACCCACCAAUUCAAUAAAAUUUAAUAGCAUGACAUGGCAAUUUUAUCAUUAUCCAGCCUAACAAGGCAAACAACAGUUUAUAAAUUUUCAACACAAAUACCCAUCCAGCCAUUCAAUUCAAAACAUAAUUUACAGUACAACAAGUAGUCUCCAAUUACUCCAUUUUCAAGUCAUCAUUAAAUUUCAAAACAAUUUAUAAAAUCAUUUCAUUUAAACACAUUUUCCAUAAAAUUACAAAAUCGGAUAAAAACAUACUUUAGAUAAUUAAGACGAUAAUAAGGUUACUCACUAUAAUGGAAAUCGAGUUUCGAGUACUCCGAUUCUUGAUCCUCGGGUACUAUCUCUUUACUUUUGCCAGUUAUUACAUAAUGCACCUAAACAUAAUGCACAAUAAGCCAGUUAUUACAUUUGUGCUAAACUGUUAUAAAACUAAUUUAGGCUCUACACUAAUGAAAUGAAAUGGGAUGUGAAAUACUUGGGUAACUAUUUAAAUACGGUGUUCAAUAUAAAUUCAAUUAAGUACCUAAAUAAAAUGGUAUUGGCCUAAUUCGAUCUGUCACCCGAUUAAUUGGCCAAUACGUCCAAUUCAACUCUAAAUAAUUCCAUUUCUCUCCCAAUACUCCAAAUCAUCAAACACAAAUUAAAUAACUUGAAAUAUGGUAAAAUCAUCCUCACAUUUUCUCUUGAAAAAAUUCGGCCAUGGAGGUUCUUGAGGGGUAUACAGUUUUUCAUGCUAAACAUUACCAUUUUCGAUUUCCACCACCACAAUUCAUUAAAUUCUAACUAAAUAACAUAAGACAUCACAAGGUUCAUCUUCAAUAUUUUUUUUAUGAAAUUCGACCAAUGAAGAAUCCAUGAAGAAUAUGUGAUUUUUCUUACUUGUUUUCCUUCCAAACAUGAUAAAUCAACUAAAAACACUAAAAUAUCUCAAAAUCUAACCAAAUAAAUCAUCAAAUCUUCUCUCUUUAAAUUCGGUCAGGCAUGAAUCCUUCAUGAGAUCUUGUGAUUCAGCCAUGGAAAAUGCAAAAGAAUGCAUAGGAAAGGUAGAUCACAAGCUAGAGUUAAGAAAUUUCACCUUUGAUGUCUUGAUUCCUUGAAAUCUAGUGAUUUUCCCUUGUAUUUCUUAGCUAGGGUUUUGUUCUUCUUCUUUUCUUCCCUUUUCUUCCUUUGGCCGACCAAGAGAAAUGAGUUGGGAGGGUUUUGGGCUGAUUUUAAAGCCAAAUAAUAAAAUAAUCCAAGCUUGACACUUGUCACCAUGUUAUUGGUCCAUGUUUAAAAACUUAAUAAUUAAGCUUUCUUCCACAACCACAUAAAAUCCUUCAAUUAUCCAUCAUAUAAAAUGCUAAUGGCUGAAAUCCAUGGGCAUGACAAGUGUUGGGUGGUGUAAAAUUACAAUUUUACCUCUGGGGUGGCAAAAUGACUAUUUUGCCUUUAUCCUUGGAAAAACGCCGAAAUUAAAAUUCUUCACUUCUCAAACUCAAAUUAUACUCCAAAUGAUCAAUCUUAGUCAAAAAUUUCAUCCAACACUCACAUCUUAACCUCGGGUGGCAAAAUGACCAUUUUGCCCCUAGGUCAUGAAAAUUCUAAUUUGACUCCAAAUCGGUCCUCGAACUCCGAAUCACCAUUUUAAGUCAUUAUGGGCUUUCAAACUCUCAAUUUCAUCUUGAAAUCUCCAUUUGGACUAGUUCGAGGCUUAAUUCAACUUAAUUGUAACAUGUGGUACAUUGUCGUGUUUUAACGAUUUUCGAGGUACCCAAGUAAGCAAACAUGCAUUCUUAUGUAGGAAUGGUAUAAUAAAUAUAUUUUAGAGCCGGGCUUGACAUGUCUCUUGUCAUUGCCAAGUACCCUUGGCGUUCUUGCCUUGGAAUUUGUUUGGCGGCUAUGUUCGACACAAUUCCCACAAACACUGGGCUACCAUGCUCCUUAUAUCAGAUACGAGGAUUCCCGUGGAAACUUAAACUUCACAAGCUUACAGUAGCAAUCUUCCUUGGCAAAGCAGGAUGCUAACUAGUUGUCACAUCCCAUUUUAUGGUGGAACAUGACCAGCGGAUGAAUCUAGAUGAGUAUAGCCCACUAUGCCUAAGCAAGCCUGUUCAACAUACAUCAUUAACCAUUCAUCAAUGCGGAAGCAUACAUAAACAUCCAUAGGCAUACAAUAUCAACUCAUGCAUACCAUUAUAUGCAACAUUACACAUAUAUAGAACUUCUGAAUGUAUUGGUGUAUGUGGAAUGUUUCAUAUUUCAUUAAAGUGCUACGUUCUUAGUGCACCACAAUAUUUACAUGUCUCAACACCCUCGGGUGUCCAUAAGGGCCCUUGAGCCACCUUACACAUUUAACAUAACAUUCAUAAUGUAAUAUGCCUAAUCAUUUGGCUACAUUAUUGUAAAAUACUCAUAAUCAAUAAAACAUGUUCAUAGUCUGUAAACAUAAACAUAACAUAGACUAACUCGUCAGUAGAACAUGACUCGACUCGACUCGUCAUACAUCAAAAGGCUACUAGACACCUGCCAAUAAAAAAUAAACGGACCACGUCUCUGUGACAAUGAAUGAUAGCAAGAGAGUGCUAUCACUAAUCUGCAACAAAAAUAGCAAGAAAAAAUAACGGAGUCACAAAGGCUUCGUGAGUGGAUACGGGGAAGGGGAUAAGCCAAAGGAUAUGACUUUUUCAUAACCAUGUAAUUAUAAAUACAUAUGAUUCAAAAAUCCUUUCACAUUACCCUAAGCAUGUGCAUAAUAACAUUCAUAAAUUAACCAUAGAAAUAUCUCGUACUUACAUUAGCCCGAAGGUUGGAGUAAUGAUUGGACUACAAACAUGAAAAGGCUUGUCCCCUUUUGUUGAAAACUAAUGCGUAGUAGCAUAUUUACAUACAUAGUAGAUUUGUAAACAAUUUGAAAUCAUUGUGUCACACAUAUCACAAUCAUUAUCAAAUCAAGUCAUUUGAACAUUUCCUUGAAAAUUUCAUAAAACCUUUUAGUUCAAAUCCUUUAAUAAACCAUAUAUGGAAAUAAUUUUCCAACAUGCUUAUAUUAGUAGAAGCCCUAUAAGCCAAUCUGUGGUUGUAUGGGAAUUGUAAUUUUGAGAUAUUCAUAAAUGACAUUUUGUUAUUCAUAAUAACAUUGAGGUAGUUCUUUAUCCCUAAGUUUGUGAUGUAAUUACAUUUUGUACUUAUGUAGAUAAAGCCCAUGAAACUAUAUAUGCCUUGCAAAGGAAUUGUAUUGGGAUACAAUUAUGAUAUCUUUAUGCAUCAAAGCAUUGUUCCUAAAAGUUUUUGAUUAUUGUAUUAUUGAGACAGGGCAUCAAUGAUGCUCAAAGAUUAGCAUAUUUUAUUUGGUACCUCACUCAAGUGUCUAUGCAAUACUUCUCAUGUGUCAGUUGUGUAACUGCUACCUAGACUUGAGACACCAUGUUAUCUUGUACGUGGAGUACUAUGCUUUGAUUUUGCAAUGACCUUUCCCCGAUCGUUGUCGGCGUCCAAGACUUCCGAAAAAGACCCGCCAAGUCUUGAACAAGCUUGUCUAGAAUUUGCUCGUUAAUCCACAACAUUCAAUCACCAUAUAAUAUUGAUUCUUCAUAUACUAAAUUGAACCAUAAAUAUAAAAAUCAAUACAAACUUUUUCCUUUUAUUCGUAAGUAUAUGCAUUAAAAUCUAUAAUCUCCAAAUUAAUGCUUAUAUAAAAAUUUAGAAUUCAUUUACAACUUAACAAAUAAAAAGCUACGACUUGACCCCUAACAGCAGAGUGACUCAGAAUAAAAUGCUAUGAGAUGCCUUACNUAAGUAUAUGCAUUAAAAUCUAUAAUCUCCAAAUUAAUGCUUAUAUAAAAAUUUAGAAUUCAUUUACAACUUAAUAAAUAAAAUGCUACGACUUAACCUCUAAUAGCGGAGUGACUCGGAAUAAAUUGCUAAGAGAUGCCUUUACUUAUUCACAGUGGACCGAAUACGUCACUGACUACACGCUAGGCUGAUCCCUAUUUGCUAAAGGGGAAAUAAAGGGGUGUGAAUCUCAUAGACUCAGUGAUAAUCAUCGACUCAGCGAGUAGGGCGUAGAUGGGAAACAAGCAAACGGCAGAUCAGUUGAAUAUAAAAAUGCAAGAUUAUAAAAGCAGUUUGUUUCAAACGAGGGUUUGUGCCUUAUAUAAAAAUCGAGAAUUUCUUAUAAAGUAUAAAUAAUCGAGGUAAUAAAAUUUUUCGCAUCAAAAUAUAUUAAUAAUCAUUUCCGAAUCAAAUCAAUAAAAUUUAGCAAGCUCCCACGAAGCCAAAUAAUAUUUAAAAUCAUGCACAAAUCAUAACUCGCCCCAUAUGCGAGGAAUUACAGAUUCAUUUCAUAGAUAAACAAAUAGAGGAGCUACGAAAAAUCGUUUAAUUCCAUUUUCACCAUGCAGAAAAAUAUAAUUCAUAAUAUUAAAACUUUUUUCAACUCAUAUAAAGCCAUUACAUUUUUGUCAAAAAUAAACAACAUGGCUUAUGACUUUCUUAAAAACUUGGCUUGUGCCAAAAUCAUUCUCAUACUCGGUUGUUUGGGAUACCUUGGCCUGGGGCUAUCCCAACCGAAUUCGCCAAGGCUGUUAAAAAGUCAUGUACGCAUAAAUCAUAUUUUUAUUUUGAAAACAUAGUCGUUCCUUGGCGUUGGCUAAGUUCACCCUCACGUGGUGGUUUGGCG